ensembl:misc_RNA Metazoa_SRP Metazoan signal recognition particle RNA
GCAGGGUGUGGUGGUGCACGCCUGUAAUCCCAGAUACUAGGGAGGCUGAGGCAGGAGAAUCACUUGAACCCAGGAGGUGGAGGUUGCAGUAAACCGAGAUUGCACCACUGCAUUCCACCCUGGGUGAUAGAGUGAGAUUCUGUCUCAA